rnacentral:lncRNA from 1 species
AAUAUAUAUAAACAUUUAAUUUAUAAAGUAAUUUUUGCAUAUGCAAGCUGUGUGGACAAACAAUAGGCAUUUCAAUAACUAAAAUUGGUAAUUAAGUAUCUAUGUUUUUAAAAGUGAUUUUUUUUUUCCUCACACUAGUCACAAAACUUAAUUGGAUGUAAUUCACCUAUUUAAUAUAGCGGAAAAAAAUGAAGCCCUUAGAAAAUAAUAUAGAAAAAUUUCUUCAAGGAUUUGAAGUAGGAUUUUCUUUGACCACAGCAGUUCUAAUGAAAACCAUAUGGAUUAAAGGUAAUUUUGAGUGAACUAAAGAGAAGAACAGAAAAUGGGAAAUUUGAAUUUGAAUUGCUUUAACCAUGUGCAAUUUAUGAGCUGUGGACAAGUCUUCGCCCUCAGUGUGUGUCAUCAACAGAAUCAUGUAUUCGAAGGGACUCUGAGGACCGAAUCAACAGCUGAUUUGGAUACCAUCAAGACGUUAUCAUGAGCCAGAUGCUGAGGAAUAGAUUCCGGGAGGAUUCCAAGGACCCACCAGUUGUAGCCAUGUUGAGACUGACACUGAAGAGGACCCCAACUAUCAUGUGCAACCCCUGUUGAACACAACCACCUACCUGGGGACAGGUCAAGAAGCUGUCACAGAUGGCAGAAGAAAACCUGAGGAAAGCAGGACAACCAGUCACAAUGAGUGGUCUAAUGGUAGCUGUAAUAGAGUUGAUCACCAUUUCCAUGAGUAUUCCUUCAACAAGGGCUGGCACAGAGAACAAUUAUACUUAUUGGGCAUAUUUAUCAAUCUUGGCUGGCAAUAAUGCCUGGAUGUAAUCACUCUCUGACACAGUUACACAUGUUUUCUGAUCUCAGUAUUUACCAUAAUAAAUCUGCUCCUA